GUCCUAAUAGCAUUGGUCUUCUGUUGCUUGGUUGUGGAUGAGUCCUAGGUGCCCACGUUAAUUGUUUGUUGAACCUGAACGAAACUGCCGGUGGUGGGGAGAAGUGGAGCAUGAGGGUUCCUUGGGAGUGUCUUGCGGCGCCGAGGAUUACACUGUGAACCAUCUGGAACUAAUAGGCCAUCCAGGUGGGAAAGAUGCCCAUCUAUGCAAUGCGAAGGCUCCCAAGGUUUGUCCUUCGGCAAUGUCACUGUGUCCGGUUGCAGUCGAUCGACAUGUGCCUAUGCCGGCUAUAACAACUCAACCAUCUUCACUACCCUGGCUCAGGACCGGGAUCCAACUUGUUCGAACAAUGACGUCUUGAGAAUCGGUCAAAUUAGAACAUUAUU